AUUGAACGCUGGCGGCAUGCCUUACACAUGCGAGUCGAACGGUAACAGGUCUUCGGUUGCUGACGAGUGGCGAACGGGGGAGUAAUACAUCGGAACGUGCCCGAUCGUGGGGGAUAACGAAGCGAAAGCUUUGCUAAUACCGCAUACGAUCUACGGAUGAAAGCGGGGGAUCUUCGGACCUCGCGCGGACUGAGCGGCCGAUGGCAGAUUAGGUAGUUGGUGGGAUAAAAGCUUACCAAGCCGACGAUCUGUAGCUGGUCUGAGAGGAUGAUCAGCCACACUGGGACUGAGACACGGCCCAGACUCCUACGGGAGGCAGCAGUGGGGAAUUUUGGACAAUGGGCGCAAGCCUGAUCCAGCCAUGCCGCGUGCAGGAUGAAGGCCUUCGGGUUGUAAACUGCUUUUGUACGGAACGAAAAGGUGCCUUCUAAUAAAGGGCGCUCAUGACGGUACCGUAAGAAUAAGCACCGGCUAACUACGUG
rnacentral:rRNA from 1 species